AGAAAAGAAAUAGAUAAUUACGGACCAUCUUAACCCAAAACGAGCCUUAAGGAGGAAAAGAACAGUGAUAGGAAAUUAUUUCUCUCUAACAGAAUUCAUUUGAAAUUAAAUGCACCCGAUUUCGUAUUCUUCAAAUUCAAUCUGAUGCUCCGGAAAAUAUGUUAAUCAAACACACAACCCUCGAGAUACAACCACUUUUACAGAUUACGGGCCAUUCCCGAUAGUUUGAUGAACGAACACAUAGUUAGAAUUCAACAUAGACUAGUGAUAUUUAUACUUUGUCCUUUACUUUCGGCGACCGAAACAUUUUACAGCAUUCCUGACGCGAUUGGAAGCAGUACCUCUGGCCAAGGGAAGCCAGUCGAAAUGGUACGGAAUUGUUGAUAAAAUGUCGUCUAUUUUGGGGAAGAAAGUUAACAGAACAUUCAGACCACACAACCUAUACAGUAUAUAUACACAGCCUGACAACUUAUUGUAUUAUUCUUUCCACGAUGCAAGAGGACAAACACAUCUUGGCAGAAUAAUUUUAUCAAACAUUUUCACAACAAAAACAUUUUAUUUUAAUUUCUUUUUAUAGUUUAUUUACAUACUUACAAUGAACUUUCACUUUCACUUUCAGUACGUUGCUAUUAAUAACGUUACUUACCAUUGUAACAUUGUGACGUUUAAAUUUUAACAACCCGAUUUUUUACUUCAGCAUGAUUUUAUGUAUUGUUUUUAUCCUGAUGACGGUGCCCUAGGCACCGAAACAUGUCGAUCAAUAAAUCUCUGCAGCAGUCCCUAAAGUGUUGUUGUUAUAAGACUCUCUACAUUUUAUGUUUUUUAUCAUAACGACCCUGCAUACCCUCGGGUAUCCACUUUAUGGACUCUACCGUAUUACAGACUCACCAGGCGUUGGUUCACUUUCGUUUGUAAUUA
rnacentral:lncRNA from 1 species